CCUACGGGAGGCAGCAGUGGGGAAUAUUGGGCAAUGGGCGCAAGCCUGACCCAGCAACGCCGCGUGAAGGAAGAAGGCUUUCGGGUUGUAAACUUCUUUUCUCAGGGACGAAGCAAGUGACGGUACCUGAGUAAUAAGCCACCGCUAACUACGUGCCAGCACCCGCGGUAAUACGUAGGCGGCAAGCGUUAUCCGGAUUUACUGGGUGUAAAGGGCGUGUAGGCGGGACUGCAAGUCAGAUGUGAAAACCACGGGCUCAACCUGUGGACUGCAUUUGAAACUGUAGUUCUUGAGUACUGGAGAGGCAGGCGGAAUUCGUGGUGUAGCGGUGAAAUGCGUAGAUAUUAGGAGGAACACCAGUGGCGAAGGCGGCCUGCGGGACAGCAACUGACGCUGAGGCGCGAAAGCGUGGGUAGCAAACAGGAUUAGAUACCCGUGUAGUC
rnacentral:rRNA from 1 species